AAGAGGGGUAUCCUGUUUUCAAGCCUUCACACGGAGAACUCUCCAGUAUGAUUACAUCCUCUAAAAGGAAGCCUCUCUGAAAUCAGGGCAUAGUCAAUGGCAUCUUGCAACUGCUGUCAGCCAGGCAGAAGUCAUGGUGGCUUUGUGGAAAACCACAGUUCCUGACACUUUUUUGAAAGAUCAAGAAAGCUCUAGCAACUACAGAUGUGGAAACUGAAGCCCAGAGAGGUUAAGUAACUUGUCCCAAAUCACAUCCAGUGAGUGGUGCAUCCGAGAUUUGAAGCCUGGCACUCUCCACUUCUCUGCUUCCAACAGAUUGCAAGACCUGCUCUGAGAAAACAGCCUUUUAAUCAACUUUUCUCUCCCAGGCCCCUCCUUGGGGGCUGAGAGCUCCUGGCCCUCUUGUGGAAGGUGAAGGGGAAGUAUGUCUCCAAGUCCAAGAUCAAGGCCCUGAAGUGUCGGAAGCCAGCUCCUGGCCAGAGUGAUGGGACUGCAGUUACAAGGACAUCUGCUAAAGCCAGGAUGACUGCUACAUUCUUGCCGGCUGAUAAUUUAAUCUCUCAAAAAGCAACAAGUGGAACUGGCAGGAUACACUGAACUCUGAUCAACUAAGAGGGGCACAGUGGUAAAAUGACAGGGGCGUGGGAAGAAAAGGACUUUAUCAUCCUUCACAAUGUUACAGGAAGGGAGUGGUGGCAACACCAGUUGUGUAGGGUGGACCUUGAGAAAGUAGAUUGCUUUCAAGUAGAGAGAAUAUAGUGGCCCAAAGAAGAUGACUCAAAAGAUCAAUGUGGCCCCUUGAAAAAUCCAAGACAAAAAAACAAAAACCACCACCGCCACCAAACAAGAAAUAGGGUGGUGGGAGAAGGGAAAUUCAGCAUACAGCCAAGAACAAAAAUAACUCCCCCACCAAAAAAACCCAAGUCCUCAGAUCAGAUGGUACAAAUGUGUCAAGAAGGCAGACCCCAGGGCAGAAUGCCUCAAAACUUACGAGGGCUUUUGAUGAGAGGGAUGGCUGAACCCUUGCCUCCUGAAAAUGCUCCUGUCUUCUUUGGAGAGUGAGCAAGCCUCCCUCGGAACAGUGUGCAUGUGGGGGCGGCCACCUGACACCCAGGAGAAGUUUGGCUUGGUCUGGGAGAGCACAGAAGUCACUCUAAUAGACUGCCAUGAGUUGGGUUUUGGGCUCCAAGAGAAAUGACCUACAAAACCCCUUAGAUAAGAGAAGAAAGGUGGAAACCAGAGAUGGAUAAAGACUUUUGAUUUUCAAGAUAGAUUUUGGAAGCUAGAGACAGGGAAGCCUAUCUCCAGCCAUAGAACAGGGCAGGUUUUUGUAUUUAUAAAAUCAUUAGCAGAGCUAGGUCAGAUCCAUCCUGUACAGUGCAUUGGAUUCUCUCAGCCCUGCCUGACUUCUGACCCCAGCUCUGCUGCACCAUCAGUGAGCAACACUUGAGGGUGCCUCCCACCCCCAGGGCUUCUCUGCGGGUGCUGCGGCAGGGGCUCCCCAGGAAUCUCCUCACAUGCAUAACCCGGAAUCGCCAGAGAGUUAAUGCUCUAUGGCCCCUACCUCAGAGCAACGUGAAGCAGAAGCUGAGAAAUGCUCCCCACUGUCCCCCAAGGCAGGCAGCCCUGAGGUGCAUUUCCUGUGCCUUCCUGGGCAAUGCCAGGGGACCUAGCAACCAGCCAUCUAUCCUGGAGGUCAGCUCCCUCCCUACUCCCCACUUCAUUCCCAGCCUUCUGUCUGGGCCACUAUCCCCAGGAAAAUGCCUUCACUCAACCUCUGCCUCAGAAGCUGCUUUCUGUAGAAAAAGUUUGCAAAAUAGAGAGGAGAAAUCACCCAUCAUCUGGUCUCCCUCACCCAAUUUGUACAAUAUCUGAAUCCUCCC
rnacentral:lncRNA from 1 species